rnacentral:rRNA from 1 species
AUUGAACGCUGGCGGCAUGCCUUACACAUGCAAGUCGAACGGUAACAGGGUGCUUGCACCGCUGACGAGUGGCGAACGGGUGAGUAAUGCGUCGGAACGUGCCGAGUAGUGGGGGAUAACGCAGCGAAAGUUGUGCUAAUACCGCAUACGUACUGAGGUAGAAAGUGGGGGACCUUCGGGCCUCACGCUAUUCGAGCGGCCGACGUCUGAUUAGCUAGUAGGUGAGGUAAAGGCUCACCUAGGCGACGAUCAGUAGCGGGUCUGAGAGGAUGAUCCGCCACACUGGACUGAGACACGGCCCAGACUCCUACGGGAGGCAGCAGUGGGGAAUUUUGGACAAUGGGCGAAAGCCUGAUCCAGCCAUGCCGCGUGUCUGAGGAAGGCCUUCGGGUUGUAAACUGCUUCUGUACGGAGCGAAAAGGUCUCCUCUAAUACAGGGGGCUCAUGACGGUACCGUAAGAAUAAGCACCGGCUAACUACGUGCCAGCAGCCGCCGUAAAAC